rnacentral:rRNA from 1 species
CCUACGGGUAGCAGCAGUAGGGAAUAUUUGUCAAUGGACACAAGUCUGAACCAGCCAUGCCGCGUGCAGUAAGACGUCUCUCUUAGUUGUAAACUGCUUUUGUACGAGGGUAAACGCAGAUACGCGUCUCUUUCUUAAAGUAUCUUACGAAUAAGGAUCGUCUAACUCCGUGCCAGCCGCCGCGGUACUACGGAGGAUUCAAGCGUUAUCCGGAUUUAUUGGGUUUAAAGGGUGCGUAGGCGGUCGGAUAAGUUAGAGGUGAAAUCCCGAGGCUCAACUUCGGAAUUGCCUCUGAUACUGUUCGGCUAGAGAGUAGUUGCGGUAGGCGGAAUGUAUGGUGUAGCGGUGAAAUGCUUAGAGAUCAUACAGAACACCGAGUGCGAAGGCAGCUUACCAAGCUACUUCUGACGUUGAGGCACGAAAGCGUGGGGAGCAAACAGGAUUAGAUACCCUUGUAGUC